AGUGAACGCUGGCGGUAGGCCUAACACAUGCAAGUCGAACGGCAGCACAGGAGAGCUUGCUCUCUGGGUGGCGAGUGGCGGACGGGUGAGGAAUACAUCGGAAUCUACCUUUUCGUGGGGGAUAACGUAGGGAAACUUACGCUAAUACCGCAUACGACCUACGGGUGAAAGUGGGGGACCGCAAGGCCUCACGCGAUUAGAUGAGCCGAUGUCCGAUUAGCUAGUUGGCGGGGUAAUGGCCCACCAAGGCGACGAUCGGUAGCUGGUCUGAGAGGAUGAUCAGCCACGCUGGAACUGAGACACGGUCCAGACUCCUACGGGAGGCAGCAGUGGGGAAUAUUGGACAAUGGGCGCAAGCCUGAUCCAGCCAUACCGCGUGGGUGAAGAAGGCCUUCGGGUUGUAAAGCCCUUUUGUUGGGAAAGAAAUCCUAUCGGUUAAUAACCGGUGGGGAUGACGGUACCCAAAGAAUAAGCACCGGCUAACUUCGUGCCAGCAGCCGCCGUAAGAC
rnacentral:rRNA from 1 species